CCGGUCUCCAAAGCAUCCUCCUUGGGAAAGGACAGUCAGCAUCUAUCAGCUCCUGGAAGGAGUGCCUCUCCACAGCGGUGCCGUGAAGGACUCACAGAUGCAUGAAACCCUGGAGCUACCAGGAAACAGGUCAGCCAGCUCAGCUCUCCACCUCCAGCAAACUUGGCAGACCUUCAGGUGGCCUGUGCUCUCUCCAUGACCGUGAACUCAGUCCCUCAAGCCAGUCCCUCCAGUAUCCACAGGCACCAGGGAAACAGUCACACAGAUAACAGCCUCGGCUCCUGACCUGGCUGGCACUGCUGGAGCCCCCACCAUGCUUCAUUGAGCAACGUGAGCCCCUCGGUAAUCCUGUUAAGCCUCCAGGGCGGUGAGUCAUUUUCCUACCACCCAAACACCUUCCUGUCGUGUCCCGGCAGGGAGAGGCGCUCCAGCCAGAACGUUAAGACUU